CUAAGCCACACAACCUGUGUUGAGCUGAACGUUAAGUAUAUGUAUACAUAUUCUCAUAUCAUUAAGGAAGAACCACUAGAGUCACUUCUCUUUUAUCAGACCGUUUAGUACGUGUAAUGACAAAAGGCACCUAGACGAAUCUAAGCGGCUUACUUUAACCGAAGUUAUUUCAGCAGAUUAACGUGACCACGGUAUGCUUCCCAAUCCGUAACUAAUUAAGCGUUACGAUAGGUUAAAGCCGACACUCGAUCAAACGUAGCUAGAAGCAAGCCCCUAGCUGCCAUUUGCGUUCGAGAGACCGAUGUUCGAAGCAGUUUGCGUUUCACAUUGGUUAACACAGUUUGCUGCACUCUUCAUCGAUACGUGAGCCGAGUGAUCCACCACAUAGAGUUGUAUUAUUAUUAGCUUCUUCCCACAAGGGGCGCUAACCUAUACGAUACUAGCUCAAGGCAAGUAGGCAUAGAGUGUGGAGUUAAAAGACACCACUGUGGAUAAAAAUACAUAGCCAAUGGCUUAGUAACAACUGAAUGCUUAUUAAGCUGGUCGUAACCCGGACCGAUCACCAAACCGCACUGAGAAGGUCGUUACCAGUUCAACUCAGAAGGUGACCAGUCCACUAUAAUAGGCAAAUUGAUACGCAAGCGCUUUGAUUACGCUACGAAGCAU
rnacentral:misc_RNA from 1 species